rnacentral:rRNA from 1 species
AUACGGAGGAUCCGAGCGUUAUCCGGAAUUAUUGGGUUUAAAGGGUGCGUAGGCGGCCAUUUAAGUCAGCGGUGAAAUUUUGCAGCUUAACUGUAACAGUGCCGUUGAUACUGUUUGGCUAGGAUUUGGUUGUAGUGUGCGGAAUGUGUGGUGUAGCGGUGAAAUGCUUAGAUAUCACACAGAACACCGAUUGCGAAGGCAGCACACUAAGUCAUUAUUGACGCUGAGGCACGAAAGUGUGGGGAUCAAACAGGAUUAGAUACCCUGGUAGUCCACACUGUAAACGAUGAUAACUCGCUGUCGGCGAUACACAGUCGGUGGCCAAGCGAAAGCAUUAAGUUAUCCACCUGGGGAGUACGACCGCAAGGUUGAA